UACAGAGGGUGCGAGCGUUGUUCGGAAUUCCUGGGCGUAAAGCGCGCGCAGGCGGCCUUUUAAGUCUACCCGUGAAAUGCCGGAGCUCAACUCCGUGCACGCCGGGGGAUACUGGGAGGCUGGAGACAGGUAGAGGCAAGCGGAAUUCCGGGUGUAGCGGUGGAAUGCGUAGAUAUCCGGAAGAACACCUGAGGCGAAGGCGGCUUGCUGGGCCUGAUCUGACGCUGAGGAGCGAAAGCGUGGGGAGCGAACAGG
rnacentral:rRNA from 1 species